rnacentral:misc_RNA from 1 species
GAAAAUCCUUUCGAAGCUGCUGGACAGCAACUUAGCACUCUCCAAAUCUUCAAUCAAAAACUAAGUCCCUUGGCUGAAAUUUGCUCCAGAUGCUUAAAGGAAUUGAGUUCGAACGUAGAAACGAAGUGGGUGAAUCGAUUCAAGGUUGUUCAAAAUCCUGGAAUUCACAAAAUCCAACUUUAACGCUGCUGCACCUGCACGCAGACCCGAUCAACUCCGGCGGCGGUGGCGGCUAGCAACAACGGCGGCGCAGAGAUUGUCGAACGGUGGUUGGCGGACGUGAGUGGCUUGUUGGAGCUUGGGCACUGCUGCGAUUAAGAGAGAUAAGACAAUGAGAGAGAGAGAUGCAGGUAGAUAGAGAGAAAUCAGAAAGAUGGAGGGGGAAAAUGGCCGGCGGUGGAUGGCGGGGCUCAACGGCACGGCUGGGAGCGGGGGUGUGACGAUUGGCGUCCGGCGGGCGUGUGGUUGAGGAAGGCGGCGUGUGUUGCUGUGAGUAU